rnacentral:tRNA from 1 species
UGGGGUGUCGUCCAAUGGCAGGACGCCGGUCUUUGGAACCGGAUGUUGGAGGUUCGAGCCCUCCCACCCCAGCCA